CCACAGAAGUUGUAACUGUGUAUCUUCCAGAUAAAAUUCUUCUAGAAUGUUACUAACAACAUAUUUCUGCCUCAUCAUUCGACCAAAAUCCACAUUGGAUCGCAGUCAGAAGUUAUUACAAACACUCAAUAGUGACUGAUAGUGACAUUCAAGUAGAAGUGUUGCAUUAAUCUCAUUAAUUGUCAUGUGUACACUCUAAAAAAAGAUAGUUCUUUAAAGGUUCUUUACAUGUAGUCACGGUUAUAUUUAGAACCAUAGCAUCCUGAAGAACCCUUUUAUGCUGAAAUGGUUCUUUGUGUUAGAGUUUAGGGUUCUUUGUUCCCGCCCUUUUGUUUUUCAAAUCUGUAACUGUCAAAGCACCUCAUUACUGAUCUUCUGGAGUUCAGUGAUACAACUACACAGACCGUCAACACACUCUCAACAGUUUUUUUGGUCACAUGUAAGUGUGAGCAGCUCUUUUACUUCUCUCCUCUUCUCCGCCAAAUGCAUCACAUCCCACAACCUCAUCAUCUGCAGAUAAACUGUCACUCAGUCACACCA